rnacentral:rRNA from 1 species
AAAUUGAAGAGUUUGAUCAUGGCUCAGAUUGAACGCUGGCGGCAGGCCUAACACAUGCAAGUCGAACGGUAACAGGAAGCAGCUUGCUGCUUUGCUGACGAGUGGCGGACGGGUGAGUAAUGUCUGGGAAACUGCCUGAUGGAGGGGGAUAACUACUGGAAACGGUGGCUAAUACCGCAUAACGUCGCAAGACCAAAGAGGGGGACCUUCGGGCCUCUUGCCAUCAGAUGUGCCCAGAUGGGAUUAGCUUGUUGGUGAGGUAACGGCUCACCAAGGCGACGAUCCCUAGCUGGUCUGAGAGGAUGACCAGCCACACUGGAACUGAGACACGGUCCAGACUCCAACGGGAGGCAGCAGUGGGGAAUAUUGCACAAUGGGCGCAAGCCUGAUGCAGCCAUGCCGCGUGUAUGAAGAAGGCCUUCGGGUUGUAAAGUACUUUCAGCGGGGAGGAAGGUGUUG